ACCCGCUGAACUUAAGCAUAUCAGUAAGCGGAGGAAAAGAAACUAACUAGGAUUCCCCGAGUAGCGGCGAGCGAAAGGGGAUUAGCCCAGCGCUGAAGCCCUCGGCCUCGCGGUCGAAGUGCAAUGUGGCGUUUCGGUGGAGCCUCGCCGCGGGCCGUCUCGACGCGCGUACCUCUGAAAGGGUCUGCCCUUAGCGGGUGUCAGGCCUCUAGGCGCCAGACGGACGGCCCCGGCCCGGCUUCACCGCGGAGUCGGGUUGCUUGAUAAUGCAGCCCAAAGUGGGUGGUAAGCUCCAUCUAAGGCUAAAUACCUAGUGCGAGACCGAUAGCAAACAAGUACCGUGAGGGAAAGUUGCAAAGAACUUUGAAAAGAGAGUUCAAGAGUACGUGAAACCGUUCGGAGGCAAACGGGCGGAACUGGGCGAGUUCGGCGCCGUCGUUCAGCAUCGCUCGCGCAAGCGGCGGUGUGCACUCGGCGGCGUCGGAGCGCGGCGACCGCUUGCGCGCCCCCCAGAAGCCCCUCGGCAAGGUGGCCGCGGCCUCGCGUCGCGGUGUUACAGGCCGGGGUGGCGUCGCGAGGGGCGCGCGGGCGAGGAGCGCCUUGCGACGCACUCGAGCGCCUCGCGGCGUUCGAGCGGGUCGCGUCGGGUGGCUGGCGGGCCGCUUGGGCAGACUGCCUCCGCAGACUGUCCUCGCGCGCCCCGUCCGUCUUCCGUCCGAUCCCGCCGUGCGUCCAGGGUCACGCGGCCGCGUGGUUCCCGGCACUCCGCCCGACCCGUCUUGAAACACGGACCAAGGAGUUGAGCGCGCGCGCGAGUCACUGGGCUUCCCGAACCCCAACGGCGCAGCUAAGGCAAAACGGGUGUGAUCCCGCCGUUCGCGCGGUGGGCGCAACACCGGCCCGCGGCGUGCUCGUUGCGAGCUGCCGCGGCGCAAGAGCGCGUGCGCUCAGACCCGAAAGGUGGUGAACUAUGCUUGAGCAGGGCGAAGCCAGAGGAAACUCUGGUGGAGGCUCGCAGCGAUCCUGACGUGCAAAUCGGUCGUCAAACUUGAGCAUAGGGGCGAAAGACUAAUCGAACCACCUAGUAGCUGGUUCCCUCCGAAGUUUCCCUCAGGAUAGCUGGCGCUCGGAAACUGGUUUCAUCCGGUAAAGCGAAUGACUGGAGGCAUUGGGGACGAAACGUCCUCAACCUACUCUCAAACUUUAAAUGGGUGAGACGCGCCUCCCAUCCCAAUCGGGGCGGCGUGCGCGAACAGUGAGUGCCCAGUGGGCCGUUUUUGGUAAGCAGAACUGGCGCUGUGGGAUGAACCAAACGCUCGGUUAGGGUGCCUAAGCGAACGCUCAUGAGACACCACAAAAGGUGUUGGUUGAUAUAGACAGCAGGACGGUGGCCAUGGAAGUCGGAAUCCGCUAAGGAGUGUGUAACAACUCACCUGCCGAAUCAACUAGCCCUGAAAAUGGAUGGCGCUAGAGCGUUCCACCCAUACCGGGCCGUCGGGGCAACGCGUGCGAAAUGCCAGGCCCCGACGAGUAGGAGGGCGCGUCGGUGGCGUUGAAGCGUUGUGCGCGAGCACGCGUGGAGCCGCCUUCGCUGCAGAUCUUGGUGGUAGUAGCAAGUAUACAAAUGAGAACUUUGUAGACCGAAGUGGAGAAGGGUUCCAUGUGAACAGCAGUUGGACAUGGUUGAGUCGGCCCUAAGAGAUCGGACAGUUCCGUUCUGAACGUCGGGGUGCGACGGCGUGCGCGCGCCCGUGUGUGUCGUGGCGCGCGCGGCGAGGCGAGCAUGAUGUGGUCGUCGAUACGCGCGAUAAGAUACCGUACGAUAUGGUCGAAGCAGAAGCAGAACUGGUCGCGUCAAACGGCGUCCGGGCGGUCGGUGAGGCCGCGCGUCUGAACCGCCGUCGCCGCUCGCUGGCCGUGCAGCUGGCAGCUGGCGUACGGCGCUGCCGCCGCCGUCGUUGCCCUAGUACGAGAGGAAAGGGUAGCGGCUCAGCAGCAGCGCGUCUGUGCGCGAGUGUGCCGGCGUGUGCGUGUCUCGCGUCGAGCGACAACAGCGCGCGUGGCCUCGUGUUGCGCCACCGUUUGCUCUCUUGUGCCAAUUGGCGGCGUCUGUGUCGACGUCCGUCUUGUGUGUGCAGAUCUUGCCCAGAAGAUCUAGCAGCAGCCAAACCGCGCGUGCACGGCGGCGCGCUUGGCGCGCGCGCACGCAGCUGUCGUGCAAACGGCCCCGUGCCGAUCGAAAGGGAAUCGGGUUAAUAUUCCCGAACCUGGCAGUGGAGAUCGGGCCCUCGGGCCCCAGCGCGGUAACGCAACCGAACACGGAGACGCCGGCGUCGAUCCCGGGAAGAGUUCUCUUUUCUUUGUUAGGAGCGGACUCCCUGGAAUUGGCUUGCCCAGAGAUAGGGACGUUGCAUCCGUAAAGCGUCGCGCCUCACGCGGCGUCCGGUGCAUCGGCGUCGGCCCUUGAAAAUCCGUGGGAGGCAGUGUUAUUUUCACUCCA
rnacentral:rRNA from 1 species